CCGAGUUACACAAUAGUAUCCACCUGGGAGACGGCCGCAGGUGAACUCAAGGAUUGACGGGGCCCGCACAAGCAGUGAGUAUGUGGUUAAUUCGAAGCAACGCGAAGAACCUUACCAGGACUUGACAUCCCUUGAAGUAACUAGAGAUAGUUACGUCCUUCGGGACAAGGAGACAGGUGGUGCAUGGUUGUCGUCAGCUCGUGUCGUGAGAUGUUGGGUUAAGUCCCGCAACGAGCGCAACCCCUAUUGUUAGUUGCCAGCAAGUAAAGUUGGGAACUCUAGCGAGACUGCCGGCGAUAAGUCGGAGGAAGGUGGGGACGACGUCAAAUCAUCAUGCCCCUUAUGUCCUGGGCUACACACGUACUACAAUGGCCGUAACAAUGGGAGGCCAAGGAGUAAUCCGGAGCACAUCCCCAAAUGCGGUCCCAGUUCAGAUUGUGGGCUGAAACUCGCCCACAUGAAGGCGGAAUUGCUAGUAAUCGCAGAUCAGCAUGCUGCAGUGAAUACGUUCCCGGGCCUUGUACACACCGCCCGUCACACCAUGGGAGUUGGGAGCACCCAAAGCCAGCGAGGUAACCGCAAGGAGCCAGCUGUCCAAGGUGAGACCAAUGACUGGGGUGAAGUCGUAACAAGGUAACC
rnacentral:rRNA from 1 species